GGAAUGACAACAAUAGUCAAAAUUGGAGAUGCUUGGCUACAAGUUACCUGCAUUCACAUGAAGUGGUACGGUGUUACUUAAAGGUGGCCAUGGAUUAUUUAAAUAUAUAUAUAUAGUAAACCCAAGAGCAACUACUAAAAAGUUGUAAAAAUAAGUAAAAAUGAUAAAUCACAAGAGGAGAUAAAAUGCAAUCAUAUGAAAUGCUCAAUUAAAACCCGAGAGGGGAAGACUUUUCUCCCUUCGUGCUUCUCUCUGUUCCUCUAAGUCCAACUAAAUCCCUGGGUGUUGGAUGUAAACUGAAUAUAAGAAGACUUCAAACAGUGGAGAGAAGACUGCAGAUUGGCCAGGGACUUUAGAGCUGUAUGGCACUGAGUUCCCUGGGUUUUUCUUUUUGCUUCACAUAUCCAACUUGGUGCCGGAGAAGCUGCAAGCUAGAAACUCUAAUGGGCACAGGCAGAAAGAGCCCUCCAAACAGCCUGCUUUCUCUAGCCAAAGGAAAGGGGGAAAAACUGAAAACUUGUAGUAAAUAACUGCUCUUCAGUAGCCAAAUAUCAAGAACAAAGACCUGUGGUCCUUCUUCCAAUGGCGCCAGCAAAAUCUGAGUCAGGAACCUAGGCUUCUACCCUGGCUUGCCAGGCUGUAAGGAGGCAGCUUGGUCUCCCAUGCUGUGCUGGCAGAGAAGGCCAAACAGGGAACUGGGUUUCCUGCCACCACCAGCAAUAAUGCAGUGCCCAUUCCCUCCCCUGCUGGAGUGCUGUCCAGGGAGGCCUGGUGGAGAGGCAGAGCUUUCAACCCCACCCAGAGGUAAUGGGGCCACCCCUCACAUCCCUUUGUCAGUGGAGGCCACAUGCACUCAAGCAGUAACCAGCAGAAGUCAGCAUUCUGACUUCUCCCAGUCAGGGAGGUUUUAGUGGAGAUACAACAGGAAGCUAGAACUCCCACCUCCGCCUAUCAGAAAAGAAGACUCCCACCCUCAGGAAUGAAAGGAGGCUCAGUGGGGAACCUGUCCUUCUACCCCCCCACCUGGCAGGAAUGAGGUGCCCCCACCCACUGCCUCUGCCAGAGCAGUGUCAGAGGAACUUGCUCAAACAGAAAAUUUAAAUAAGAUUUACCAUCUCAAAGAAAAUGCCCAAAAUGUUUAGGUUUCAAUCAAAAAUUUCUCAGAGAACCAGGAAGAUCUUAAACAGAUUAAAAAACAACAAUAGGUUCCAACACCAAAAUAGCAGAGACUAGAAUUAUCUGACAAAGAUUUUAAAGCAGCCAUCAGUAAAAUGUCUCAAAGAGAGAUUACAAACAUAAUGUGAAACAAAUGUGAAACUCCAAGGUCUCACCAAAGAAACUCAAAGUCUCAGCAAAGAAAUAGAGAUGUAAAACUGGCCCACAUGGACAUGCUACAUGUUAAGCCAGCAUUCUAUUUCUGGAAUAAAUCCCACUUGGUCAUGGUGUAGAACACUUCCUAUAUCUGUUGGCUUUAGGUUUUAAGACAUUAGCAUCAAUAUUUAGAAGGAAUAUUCGUCUGUAGUUUUCUUGUGAUAUUUGCAUCUGGUUUCAAUUAACACAGACUUUGUAGAAGGAAUUGGGUAAUGACCCGUUACAUUCUAUUUUUUUGGAAGAGUUUGUGAAGAAUUGGUGUUAAUUCUUUAAACGUUUGAGAGGAUUCACCAGUAAGGCCACCUAGUCUUGGGACUUUCUUUGUGGGAAAAUUUUGGAUUGCCAAUUCAAUCUCUUUACUUGUUAUAGAUAUAUUCAGGUUUUUAAAAUUUCUUCUCCAUUUAGUUUUGGCAGUUUGUAUCUUUUGAGGAAUCAGUUCAUUUCAUCUAGGUCAUUUAAUGUGUUGGCAUACUAUUUUGUAUAGGAUUCCCUUAUAUACUUUUUAAAUUUCUGUGAGGUCAGUAGUAAUGUUCCCCCACUUCAGCAUUGAUUUUAGUAAUUUGAGUCGUCUGUCUCUCGUUUUUGGAUGAUAGGGGGUCAGUCUAGCUAAACUAGAUUUCUCUUAGAUGCCCUUUAAGAGAUUGCAAAAGUCUCCUUCUGUUGCUCACUUGCUGAGUUUUUCUCGUAAGUGAGUGCUGAAUUUUAUUAAAAGUUUUCCCAGGCCGGGUGCAGUGGCUCACGCCUGUAAUCCCAGAACUUUGGGAGGCCGAGGUGGGCGGAUCACGAGGUCAGGAGAUCAAGACCAUCCUGGCUAACACGGUGAAACCCCGUCUCUACUAAAAAUACAAAAAAUUAGCCAGGCGUGGUGGCAGGCGCCUUGUAGUCCCAGCUACUCAGGAAGCUGAGGCAGGAGAAUGGCGUGAACCCCGGAGGCGGAGCUUGCAGUGAGCUGAGAUCCCGCCACUGCACUCCAGCCUAGGCGACAGAGCAAGACUCCAUCUCAAAAAAAAAAAAAAAAAAAAAAAAAGGUUUAAAAAGUUUUCCCUGAAUCUAUUGAAAUAAUUCACUCCUCAUUCACUCACCACAAGUAAGAAGACAAUAGACGUGCUAGUAUGAAUACCAUCGAGAAAUAUUAUUCAAAUUGGCAUCUUUGGGAGUUCGCUGUCAUCUCUUCACAAAACAUCCCCACAGAAAGCCAAACUUUCCCUUAGCAAGCGUGGCAGCGUCCCAGAGUGCAGCCUGGAUCCCGUCAAGGAUAUCAUAUGAUACUUCCUUGUCACGUUUCCUUAGGCUCUUCCUGACUGUCCGUUUCUCAGACCUUCCUUGAUUUUGGUGACCUUGACAAUGUUGAGGAACACUGGUCAGGUGAUUAGGACCUGAUGAAAGUUAGGUCCCAGCACAGGGAGGUGGAUGAAAGUUAACUGAGAAGCAUCUGGACCACUUCUUGCAUUUUGGUGCCUUCUGGACCUGCUCCCAUACGUACCCUUGCCAUCAUCCAAUGGAUUGCUACAGCAUUCACUGAAACUGAUGACUUGGACACUCAACAAGGAAUUGAGCAUCAGCAUCCUUGAAGCCUCUGUCACAGCAUCCUCUGCAAGAGACGAUGAAAGGCAAAUUCCAGGCUCCUUUGGAAGAAUGACAAUGCUACAGAAAAGCACAUGGAUUUGCAGCUUCAUGGACAUCACCUGUGAGGGUGACAGCUCUUUACUCUCAGUGAGUUCCCCAGAUUGAGGAAAGUGAAGCCAGGCUUACUGAGAAAAAAAAAACAACAACAACCCUCAGAAAUCAAAAUUGGACAGCUAUACCCGGUCUGGCUGCCCCGGAGCGGGAAGACCCGAACCUUGGCAGGGCCAGCUGCUGUGCUGACCAGUCUGAUAUCAUGAAGAGAAGUGAUUUUCCGAUCCUGCAUCCGGUACAGCUGUGCGGACUCUGCUCUUCCUGCCAUUCCACCAUGAAAUUAAAAAGCAAUUUUCUUUUG